GUGGGACACGUAGGCAGAUAGGUA
rnacentral:piRNA from 1 species